GAUGAAGAACGUAGCGAAAUGCGAUAAGUAAUGUGAAUUGCAGAAUUCAGUGAAUCAUCGAAUCUUUGAACGCACAUUGCGCCCGCUGGUAUUCCGGCGGGCGUGCCUGUUCGAGCGUCAUUUCAACCCUCAAGCUCUCCGGAGUUUGGUGUUGGGGCGCCUGGGGCUUUUCGACCUCAGGGCCCUCAAGUCCAUCGGCGGGACCGCCAGGACACUGAGCGCAGUAGUAUUAUUUCGCUCGGUAGGAUCUUCCACGGCGGGUCGAUCUGGCCGCUAAACCCCCCAAUUCUCACCAAAGGUUGACCUCGGAUCAGGUAGGAAUACCCGCUGAACUUAAGCAUAUCAAUAAGCGGAGGA
rnacentral:misc_RNA from 1 species